CAAUAACCAAGGAGGGAACCAAAAAGCAGUCAACUAAACAUCGGAGUGAGGAUUAGCUUAUAACAGUCGGAGAUUUAGUAAGUAAUGGCUAAGGUUUCUUAUACCCCCUUCCUCAUCGUUGCUAUCCUUGUCUUCUCAGUUGCAUCGUCAAUGAUGAUGAAAGCAGAUGCACAAGUGAAGGUUUGCCCGGUGGUAUUGCAUCCUACUGGCUGCACCCUCCUAGCUUGUGGUGAAGAGUGCUACAAAAAAUUUAACGGCGCCAGAGGAGUUUGUGAACAGAAUGAUUUUUCUAUAAACCCCACAUAUAGAUGUGUUUGCAACCGCAUUUGCUAGAAUCAUACUAAUUUAGCCUCUCUCUCUCUCUCUCCCUACAUGUCUGUUCACCAUAUAAUGAAUAAAAGGCUUAAAAAAUAAUUGGGUUCUUUUC